UACGUAGGGUGCGAGCGUUAAUCGGAAUUACUGGGCGUAAAGCGUGCGCAGGCGGUUCGACAAGUCCGAUGUGAAAGCCCCGGGCUCAACCUGGGAAUGGCAUUGGAAACUGGCGAGCUUGAGUGUGGCAGAGGGGGGUGGAAUUCCGCGUGUAGCAGUGAAAUGCGUAGAGAUGCGGAGGAACACCGAUGGCGAAGGCAGCCCCCUGGGCUGACACUGACGCUCAGGCACGAAAGCGUGGGGAGCAAACGGG
rnacentral:rRNA from 1 species